CAACCACGCCACGUUCAAAGCCCCUUAAAUCCCCUUUCUUCCCCGUUCUGAUGCUCGGCCUGCACUUCAGCAAGUCGUCUUGACCACCUCUACAUGCCUAAUAAAGUGGCCAGUGAGUGUAGCUCAGAGCAAAAGUUAAGAAGCCGACUUCAGGCACCAAACGUGUCUUGGCAGAUCGACUACGUGGUGUUUAAAUGAGAUUUUUUGCUCACUCAUUGCUUUACGUCUUACGUCUGCUAAGUGAUGCGCCCGUUUUUUGAACAGGUAGCCGUUACACUAGAAGUUUCAGAGUCCAGUCCUGAAGUGAACAGGCCUGCUCCAACAUAUCUGACCAAUGUUUUGAUGAGCUGCAUUACGUUUGUUAGUCUAAGCUGGUCUAAGCUGGCCUGUGCUAGCCUGGUGCUGCUGUCAUUCACCCAGCCUGGUCAUGCUGGUUGACCAGCAUUCCACAACACCACACAACAUCUCCUGGUUUUGCUGGUGACCCACCAUGCUGGUCUAUGCUGUUUUUUUCUAGUAGGAAUAUUUCGUGUGCUCUCCAGUUUAGACGACAUUAAAGGCCUCAUUAGCCAAGACGCUGUGUACCACUGGCCUUUAGGAACUGAAUAGUGUGUUUGCCUGCUUUACGGUUUUUACCGGGUGUACUGUGGCAUACAGACACUUUUCACCUAAUAUUUUUAAAAUAUUAACGUGCCAUACACACUAAUCUGCUGUGAUAAUAUUCUGAUAUUAAUUUAGAAUAGCUUUGUUCAAAUUUAGAGCAGCCUACAGGCACUGGUUUGACUUUAAACAAGGGAUUCGAUGAAAGAUGCGCUUUAAUACUGAUGGAGGGCCAACUUUGCUUCUAAACACUAACCCAAAACAGCAAGGAACGCAUUUUACUCAGCCUCCAUCUGUUGCUUUUGCCUUUGCUGCCCUCUCCUGGUCAGUCAGUGUCGGUGCUGGAAAUGGGACACUGACUAGGUCAUUAAAGUUCUAUCCCUGUUUAUAAUAAGUUCAUAGUUAUCAAUGAUGUAUGUAGGAAGUGUUCUGAUGGAGUGAUGAGGGGGAGACUAGAGCACACAAAUAAAGAGCAUCCUUAUAA